GUGGAAUUUUAAGAUGCUUUGCCAUUUUACUUUCCCACCAUCAGUGUAUGAAAGUUUCAAUUUUUCCACAUCCUCACUAACACAUGUUAUUGUCUGUCUCUGAUGAUAGCCAUUCAAGUGGGUGUAAACUGAUAUCUUAUUGUGGUUUUGAUUUUCUAUUUCUUAUUGACUCAGUUUCAGUAGCCUUUGUCUUCCUAGGAAUCUGUCUAUUCCAUCUAUGUUAUCUAAUUUGUUGGCAUACAAUUAUUCAUAAUUUCCCCUUAUAGUCCUUUUUAUUUUUGCAAGGUUAAUAAUAAUGUUUACUCUUUCAUUGCUGAUUUUAGUCAUUUUGAGUCGUAUCUUUUUCAGUCUAGCUAAAUGUUUGUCAGUUUUAUUGAUCUUGACAAUGAACCAACUUUUGGUUUUGUUGAUUUUCUCUAUUGUUUUUCUAGUCUGUUUAUUUCCUUUAUAAUCUUUUUUUCUCCCUUCCUUCACUUGCUUUGAAUCUAGUUUGCUCUUCUUUUUCUAGUUACUUUGGGUGAAAAGUUAGGUUAUUGAUUUAAGAUUUUUCUUUUUAAAGAGAGGCACUUAUAACUUCUUUGUAUAUUCUUUUGCAGUUUCCUGUGAAUCCAUAAUUAUUUCAAGUUUUUAUUUUAAAUAAAAACAUAAGGAAAAAAGUAUGCUCUGCCAGACGAGUUGCGUGUGAGAAUGACUCAGUCAUUCUCAUAGCCUCAGGGAGAUUCAUGGAGAAAGAUACAUAUAGAGUGAUUUAAAAGAUGAGAUGGCUGCAGAGAUGAAAACACUGAAGAAUGUCCAGGGAAACCACGCAGGCACAGUUGAGGGCCUAUAUAAACUGGAGAGUGAUGCUUUUAUCAUGGGAGUUUCAUACUCAGAGAAACCAGUUCCUAAGGAGGCUGGCACUUAUUUCUUGUCAAUCUUUAGGUACCACAGCUGAAGCCAUUUGGGGCAGGGAUGGAACCACACUCUGAUUAAAGCUAAUGUUCCCACCUGAGGUCUUUUUCUCUGAUGCUCAGAAUGCUCAAAGAUACCCCGUCUCCUACCAAGUCACUCAAAAUGUUCAGCAUGGGUAGACUGACUGCCUUUAAAAGAUAACAAUAAUGGUAUUUAAACAGGAAGCAAAAACUAGAAAAUUUGUUGGGGUUGCUGAUAUUUUUUAAAAUUUCUUUUAACUUUAAUUUUUUAAAAAUUCCAGAUUCACCAAAAAAAAGUUGCAAAAACAGUUAACAGAACUCCAGAUACCCUUCACCCAACUUUCCCAACUGUCCCAAAGGUUAACAACUUAACGUUGGAUUGCUAACUCCUUUUAAUGUUUACUAAAAAAAAAUUUUUGGACUAGGUAAUAUAUUCUUUUAGUUUAUAAAGUAAAACAAUAUAAAGAGGUACAUAGGUGAAAAAUCUCAUUUUUGCCCCUGCCAUUCUACUGUAUCAGUCUCACCCCUCACAAACACUCAUAAUCAUCUGUAUUUUUUUCUUUUUUUUUUGGUUGUGCUGCACAGCUUGUGGGAUCUUAGUUCCUUGACUAGGGAUUGAACCCGGCUCCUGGACAGUGAAAGUGUGAAGUGCUAGCCACUGGACCGCCAGAGAAUUCCCAUCUGUAUGUUUCUUUGAGCAAAAGUAAUCAAAAUAUUUUCAUAUCUCCUCUUCUUCUCUUUCCCGUCCAAAAACAGUAUUCUAUGCAUACUGUUCUGGACCUCACAUUUAUCAUUUAACAAUAUAGCUUAGAAAGAUUUUCAAAUUAGAACAUAGUAAUGCUAUUUUUUUAAUUGAAAAGGACUUCAGUAUUUAUCUCAUCUUUGCCCCCACUGUCUUCCAGCAUCGCUUUAGACAUACUUCUUGCUUCCUCGCUCACUUUCCUGUCUAACCUCUAUUUAAAUCCCCAGUUCCCCAAGCAUAGUUCAUUCUCUGUGCUGACAAGCUCAGGGCUUUUACAGACCCCAGCCAGUGUAACUGGAGCAAAGCCACCAACCCCAUGGGCCAUCAGGACCACAGGGACACAUUCAGAAGGGACAGCAACAGGAUGAUGAUUGCCUUAGCAUGAGCGAUGCCCCAAAGAGAGCACUCUGGGCCAAGAAGAAGAAAUGAUCUGGAACAAGGCCUUGUUGCUAAGCAACCCCAGAGAGGAUGAAAUUAACGCAGUCUGUUUUUCAUGUAACUGCAUCUCAAAUGAAAGCUGAGGACAGAGUUGAUCCCAUGCAAAAUUAAUAAUUACCGCAUGAUUCUUUCUUUUAAAUGGCUGCUGCCAAAAGACUGAGAACUGAAGAAACCAAUAUAUCCUUCUUUUAAAAGAGUGAUACAAGUUAUUGACCUUGUGCAGAGAGACAGACACCAUCAGUUCUUCCCAGAGCAAAGAUGGCCUUUCUGAUGAUGCUGCUGCGAAGCUUGGCAGGAAGCACACUAUGGAAAUGUGGAGCUGAACAGCUUAAUGUGUGUAAUUUGGGAAGUUCAGCGGAUGCCAGGGCUUAGCAGGCUCCCAGCUUGUUCAAGGCUGUUCCUGUGGAUUUUCAUUCUUGUGGGCAUCAAGCUCCUCAAGUCUGAGGGCCUGGGUCCCACCCAGACUCAGUGCCCAUAGCCAUGUCCCUGCUGUCCUCUUAAAACCAGGAUGGUAGCUGACAGUUGGAGGCUCCUCUGACACCUCUGCCUAAGGAAGUGGAAGGGUAAUGAGGUAAUUGGGUUCUAGAGAUGAUUCAGGUAAAGGCUGACAUAUAAGGCUUUCUCUAGACAUGAGUGUGGACUCCUCGUUGGUUUCUAGAGGGCCUGAGGUAUUGUAUUGCAACAUCCAUCAUUCCUACAGUGGCUGACACAUGGAGCCACCCAGAUCCCCACUCCAAGACUGAAGCACUCAUUUCUCCAUCUCCUGGGAGGGAUGACAGCAGCAAUUAUCAGCUGAGAUUUUUCUGAGGCUGAAAAGAGUCACCUUGUCCAUGGUAGUGCUCCCUUCCCAGAGGCAGCCCACAUCUAAUGUCUGAUCUGUGCAGGAGUAAAAAGAUCCAGCUCCCUUACCUCAGUUGAGACAACUCUGAGCCAUCCCAGCCCCAGAGCUGUCUAAAAGAUCAGCUAAGGUUUGUUUUUAUUUUUUCCAAAUGAUUUAUUUUUUUUAGUAAAUUAAUCUCUCCCUUUAUUUUUGGAAACUUUUUUUUAACUUUUAGUUUUAUACUGGAG